rnacentral:rRNA from 1 species
GGUCUUCGGAUCGUCCGAGUUGUAAUCUAGAGAGGUGUUUUCCGUGCCGGACCACGUACAAGUCCCUUGGAACAGGGCGUCAUAGAGGGUGAGAAUCCCGUCCGUGACGUGGACUACCGGUGCUCUGUGAUACACCUUCAAAGAGUCGAGUUGUUUGGGAAUGCAGCUCAAAAUGGGUGGUAAAUCCCAUCUAAAGCUAAAUACAGGCGAGAGGCCGAUAGCGAACAAGUACCGUGAGGGAAAGAUGAAAAGAACUUUGGAAAGAGAGUUAAACAGUACGUGAAAUUGUUGAAAGGGAAACGCUUGAAGUCAGUCGCGUCUGCUGGGACUCAGCCUUGCUUCUGCAUGGUGCACUUCUCAGUAGAUGGGCCAGCAUCGAUUUUUGGUGCCGGAAAAGGGUGAGAGGAAUGUGGCAGCCUAGCUGUGUUAUAGCCUCUUGCCGUACACGGUGCCGGGGAUCGAGGAAUGCAGCACGCCUUUGGUCGGGGUUCGCCCACGCCACGUGCUUAGGAUGCUG